rnacentral:rRNA from 1 species
CACAUGCAAGUCGAACGGUCUUUUCGGAGAUAGUGGCGGACGGGUGAGUAACGCGUAAGAAUCUACCUUCAGGUUGGGGACAACCACUGGAAACGGUGGCUAAUACCCAAUGUGCCGAGAGGUGAAAGGCUUGCUGCCUGAAGAAGAGCUUGCGUCUGAUUAGCUAGUAGGUGAGGUAAGAGCUUACCUAGGCGACGAUCAGUAGCUGGCCUGAGAGGAUGAUCAGCCACACUGGGACUGAGACACGGCCCAGACUCCUACGGGAGGCAGCAGUGGGGAAUUUUCCGCAAUGGGCGAAAGCCUGACGGAGCAAUACCGCGUGAGGGAGGAAGGCUCUUGGGUUGUAAACCUCUUUUCUCAGGGAAGAAAAAAAUGACGGUACCUGAGGAAUAAGCAUCGGCUAACUCCGUGCCAGCAGCCGCGGUAAUACGGAGGUUGCAAGCGUUAUCCGGAAUGAUUGGGCGUAAAGGGUCCGCAGGUGGCAUUGUAAGUCUGCUGUUAAAGAGUCACGCUCAACGUGAUAAGAGCAGUGGAAACUACAAAGCUAGAGUAUGUUCGGGGCAGAAGGAAUUCCUGGUGUAGCGGUGAAAUGCGUAGAUAUCAGGAAGAACACCGGUGGCGAAAGCGUUCUGCUAGACCAAAACUGACACUGAGGGACGAAAGCUAGGGGAGCGAAUGGGAUUAGAUACCCCAGUAGUCCUAGCCGUAAACGAUGGAUACUAGGUGUGGCUUGUAUCGACCCGAGCCGUACCGGAGCUAACGCGUUAAGUAUCCCGCCUGGGGAGUACGCACGCUAG